UUUCAAAUAAAAUUUCCCAUG
rnacentral:piRNA from 1 species